rnacentral:rRNA from 1 species
CCAGCACCCCGAGUUGUCGGGACGAUUAUUGGGCCUAAAGCAUCCGUAGCCUGUUCUGCAGGUCCUCCGUUAAAUCCACCUGCUCAACGGGUGGGCUGCGGAGGAUACCGCAGAGCUAGGAGGCGGGAGAGGCAAACGGUACUCAGUAGGUAGGGGUAAAAUCCAUUGAUCUACUGAAGACCACCAGUGGCGAAGGCGGUUUGCCAGAACGCGCUCGACGGUGAGGGAUGAAAGCUGGGGGAGCAAACCGGAUUAGAUACCCGGGUAGUCCCAGCUGUAAACGAUGCAGACUCGGUGAUGGGUUGGCCUUGAGCCAACCCAGUGCCGCAGGGAAGCCGUUAAGUCUGCCGCCUGGGGAGUACGGUCGCAAGACUG